AGAAUGAACGCUGGCGGCGUGCUUUACACAUGCAAGUCGAGCGAGGCGUGUAGCAAUACACAGCCCUAGCGGCGAACGGGUGAGUAACGCGUGGAUGACCUGCCCUUCAGCGGGGGAAUAACCCGGGGGAAACUCGGGCUAAUACCGCAUACGACCGAGAGGUGAAAGGGGGCCGCAAGGCUCUCACUGGAAGGAGGGGUCCGCGUUCGAUUAGCUAGUUGGUAGGGUAAUGGCCUACAAGGCGACGAUCGAUAGCCGGCCUGAGAGGGUGAUCGGCCACACUGGAACUGAGACACGGUCCAGACUCCUACGGGAGGCAGCAGUGGGAAUUUGCGCAAUGGGCUAACGCCUGACGCAGCAACGCCGCGUGGAGGAUGAAGGUCUUGGAUUGUAAACUCUGUCAGCAGGAAAAGGACACGACCUCAUACGUCGUGAACUUGAUUGUACCUGCAGAGGAACGCCCGGCUAACUCUGUCGCCAGCACGCCGCGGUAAUCUA
rnacentral:rRNA from 1 species